GCGGGAGUGGUGCAACGGCAGCCACACCAGACUUCGGCUCUGGUGCCUGUGUGCGUGCGGAUUCGACUCCCGCCUACCGACCGA
rnacentral:tRNA from 1 species